AAUAUUUUACCAUCGCCAACUUGGUGUCUGGUGCACAUCGACCGCCCGUUCUGCCAGAUCCUUUUUCCACGCAC